UUCAAGCUCGUGGUGAAAUGAAACAAUGAGUCAGCAAAUAGUCAAAGGACACGUGGUAAGUGACCUGACAAUUGAAUUUAAAACCAACACAAAAUUCGCGUUGUUCAGUGAAACUCCGUCCACUACCUCAGGAAACCCUCCGUCACGGGCCGCCGCGCCGGAAAUCGUCUCCGGCGACAGCGACCGUCAAAAUGAAAAAAGGAAGCUACCGCGCUGCUCGUGUCCUCAAGCUCUAUCCGGAUCCACAACUGAUUUCAUAAGAUCCGAAUCCUAGGUUUCUAACCGAAUCAACAAUUAUCAAGAACCCUAGGUAUCUAUGUCCAAAUUAAAUACCAAUCAUACUACGACGCAAUCUUAGACCUUAGGGUUAUAGUCACUCAGUCCCCCCUAACCUACUAGUAACGAGAAACGGAGAAAAAGAUGGAGUUCAAAAAGCGUACCGGAGUAUCUUGACGGUGGCAACGACGACGAAAUUUCAGGGAGAUACGGCGGCGAGUAUUGGAGAUGGAAAAGGAUCGCCGAUUGAUUGGUUUAAUCAGGGAGGGACUCGUGAUUCAGGGAUUGUCGAUGAUGAUGGUGGUGAAAGCUCUGGAGAUUGUGGAGACUGGGAUUGAGGGAGAGUGGAUAUUCCGGCGAUUGUUGACGACGGAGAAUUCAAGGUGUCAUGAAUAUGUAGAGAUUGAAGAGUGACCGAAGUUGAAUAUCAGAGCAGUGAGUGUGUAGUUUGAGCGUGAAAAGAGUGAUCACCCUUGGAUGAAUCAUGAAGAGUGAAUUUAUAGGUGAGUUAGCAUUGGUACUGUGGAAUUUUAGUUAGGAGUUAGUUUUCAAUUUCUGAUAUUUUCUGGAUCCCUAUGCGAUUAGUUAGACAGCUGGCAUGGUAGUUAAGUUAAGUUGGUUAGAUGAGUGUAAAAAAAAUCUAUUAAUGAUUGGCCACUGUAGGUUAUAUUUGAGCUGAAGUCAUGUGAGAUUUUGUUGGUGACCUGCUGAACCUGUUGCAACUUCUAAUUUUAAUGUGUUCAGUGAGGCCAUUUCAGGUUUGAGUUGGUGACCAGCUCGUUGCUUAGGUCAGGCUUUGGAUUAUUACUGUGUGGUAAUGGUUGACAUGCUAAUUUUGCAUUGCCUUGACUUGGUUUAUCCUUGUUUUUUUAUUUGCGAUUUCUCAUGCUUGGUUCCAAGGUAAGUUUAGGAUUUGGCUCCUUUGAUGUAUGGUAUGGUAUUGUGUACUGCGACAUGGUAAUGUAUGUUCUGCAGUAGGCCAUGAUUUGCACUGCUUUCCUGCUUUUUGUUGCAUGUUAUUACUGCAUUGCCUUUGGUUCUGGUUGUAGUAGUUUAUAGUAUGGUUUUGCAGGUCUGGUUGAGUUACCUUGAUGCUGCAGGAGCUUGUUCAGGGUCUGUUUCCGCUGUAGGAUUCAUGAGCUGCCUACAAUGUAAUAGGUAUGCUGUGGUGCAGAUCCUAUGGUCUUCUACAUGGAUACUCUAUUGAUGGAUUAAUAGGCCAGGCUCAUGUUAUGUUGUAAAUCUCAGUUGCCUUGAUUUUGGUUGUUGGUCAUAUUUGGUUUGAGUGAACUGCAACGGUGUGUAUGUUGCAGCAGGUUUGGUUCCCGGCUUGGUCAAGAUGUGGUUUUGCUGCAAGUUCAUGGGACCUUAUACAGCAUAUGCGUUUCAUUGCCUAUCCUGGUGUGUAGGUUGACUACUGAUGGAUGUACUACAGGUUCCUAUACGCUGCAGAAACCCCACGGUCUUGCAAGCUGCCAAUAGGUGUGUCCUUGCUGAACUUAUCAUGUUGCAGGAUUCAUGGCUCAUGACAUAAUGUUAAUAGCAUCACUAAUGGUCACAUAGAUUUCUUCAUUAUUAUGGUGCGGAUGAACAUCGUCAAAUGCAUUGAUUCAAGAUGAAGCGAUGCAUUGUUCUUGGCUUUUGUUUGAACAGACUCCUGGCCUGGUUCAAUGGCUUCAGCUGCAACACAGUUUGGUGAGUGUUUUGCAUCUGCCUUAGUUUAAACAACAUGUUCUAGCUACUCUAAAUUUGAGUGAUGUACUUGAUGUUUCAUAUUUCGUAGUAGUCAUGGAUUGGUUAGGUUGCCUUGCAAGAUGCUUGUUGACUGCUGUGGUUACAACAUUCUUGUAAAGUGGUUUUACUAGCUAACAGGACUUGGUGAGUUGUAAGGAGCUUGUGGUUCUGCAACAAUAAUUUAAUGCCCAUUGCCUCUUGUCUUUCUUGCAGCAUAUGUGCAACAUCAGAUCUCGUACGCGUGCUCUUUCCUUCGUUGCGAAUUUCAAGCUCUUUGGAAAUAACAUGAAACUCAUAUUUAAGUGAAUUGAUUUAUCUUUCACAUGAUUCUACAUUGCUCUUAUGAUGCUCAAUGAGCUUUUCCUUCACUUAGCUCAAAUAUCAUGUUAAAACGUUCCUGCAAGGACCUUGACGGAGCUGCAUUAUCAGCAACAGACCUGAGGAGCUCUUGUUCAAAAUUUUGUAUCCUAGCCUCAAACUCAACCUUAAUCUUAUCCAAUUGUUUGGUUUUUACAAGGGUGACUUCCUGUAUUUUCAAUUCAUGUUCUUCUUUCAGGUUUCUCAUUUUGAUGGUUUCCCUACAUUGAGGUGGUGCAUGUUGAUGCGCCAUAUUGCCUUGAUGGCCUACUGCAGGGUUAGGACUUAGGUUGCUAUCCUGUGAAAUGAUGAUCUUAGUCAUUCUGCAGGCAUUAUCAAGGGGAGCAUUACGCAUUGCAGACUUGUGCAGAAGGGUGCUAUUGUCUCAUGGUUUGCAGCAGGCACAUGAACGACGACAUGGUUAAGCAAGGUUUGGACCAUGACAUUAAAGAUGAUGGGAUUUUGAAGUUGUAUGUACAAAAGGCAAGCCAAAGGUCAAAAUGGGAUUUAGAUAUUAGGAUUCGAUUGGGGUGGGAAAUUGGGGUUUUGGGUUGACUUUGGUCAAAGUUGACCAAAAAGUCAACUAUUGACCAAAGUCAACAAUUGGUUAAAGUUGUAAUUUUUUCAUGUUUUGGACACUUUGCUUGACUAUGUAAUGAAGGAAAUUGAUACAUAAUGAAAUUAAUUGGUUUUGAAACGA